rnacentral:rRNA from 1 species
AACGAACGCUGGCGGCAUGCCUAACACAUGCAAGUCGAACGAGAUCUUCGGAUCUAGUGGCGCACGGGUGCGUAACGCGUGGGAAUCUGCCCUUGGGUUCGGAAUAACAGUGAGAAAUUACUGCUAAUACCGGAUGAUGUCUUCGGACCAAAGAUUUAUUGCCCAAGGAUGAGCCCGCGUAGGAUUAGCUAGUUGGUGGGGUAAUGGCCUACCAAGGCGACGAUCCUUAGCUGGUCUGAGAGGAUGAUCAGCCACACUGGGACUGAGACACGGCCCAGACUCCUACGGGAGGCAGCAGUGGGGAAUAUUGGACAAUGGGGAAAACCCUGAUCCAGCAAUGCCGCGUGAGUGAUGAAGGCCUUAGGGUUGUAAAGCUCUUUUACCAGGGAUGAUAAUGACAGUACCUGGAGAAUAAGCUCCGGCUAACUCCGUGCCAGCAGCCGCCGCGG